CCAGACUCCUACGGGAGGCAGCAGUGAGGAAUAUUGGUCAAUGGUCGGGAGACUGAACCAGCCAAGCCGCGUGAGGGAUGAAGGUACAGAGUAUCGUAAACCUCUUUUGUCAGGGAACAAAGGCGGGGACGCGUCCCCGGAUGAGUGUACCUGAAGAAAAAGCAUCGGCUAACUCCGUGCCAGCAGCCGCGGUAAUACGGGGGAUGCAAGCGUUAUCCGGAUUUAUUGGGUUUAAAGGGUGCGUAGGCUGUGAGGUAAGUCAGCGGUGAAAUGCCCCCGCUCAACGGGGUGAAGUGCCAUUGAUACUGCCUUGCUGGAAUGCGGAUGCCGUGGGAGGAAUGUGUGGUGUAGCGGUGAAAUGCAUAGAUAUCACGCAGAACCCCGAUUGCGAAGGCAGCGUACCGGCGCCCGACUGACGCUGAAGCACGAAAGCGUGGGUAUCGAACAGGAUUAGAUACCCUGGUAC
rnacentral:rRNA from 1 species